AGUUGUAGGGGAAAGGGCCCUCGUGAGCAGCGGGGCUCGUCUCUUUUCACCCGGUUCGUGGCUUGGCCGGUGCCUCAGUGCGUGUGCGGCAGCUCGCCAGGCUGCACAAAGGAACAGCCGGCCGGGUUCGGCCCGUCCUGCGGCCGCAGGAGGGAUGGAUGAGCAACAGCGUGCGGGGCGGGGGCUGCGGUGGGCCCGGGCAGCAUCGUCCCGCUCCGUGCUCCGUCGGGCACUGAGGGUUGAAAUGCAGCUCCCGUUCGGAGUGCCUUUAAGUCCUUUUAUUGCGUUCCUGGAGAUGAACACUCUUCAAGAAUGAAAUUAUGUAUCCCUCACGGUAGAGUUAAUGUCUUGCAGCAGCUCUGAUCUAUAACUCCUUCGGUCCGGUAGAUUUAUAUAACCUGCUCAUUAAUGGUUUAUGAAAUGAUAAGGGAGCUUUUCUGUGUGCUGCGGUGUUUUCUGUGUUGUUGUCAAUAUUUCGUAAUUCAGCUGUCCGGAGUAGGAGAAGCUUAUAGCUGUUAACAAUGUAUAUUUCUUCCAUUUAAGGGAUUUUGUUUUGCUCUCGUUUUGUAUUUUUGAUCAUUCUGCAUCUCGAGAUAGGCUCCUGAAUGAGGAGAGUGAAUAAAAUGGAAGGCACAGUCAUUCUCUUUGGCUACAGUAAUACUCUAGGUUUGUUUUCUGCAGGAUCAGCCCCUGUUUUCACUUCUGCAAGCACCCUGGAGCUUUGGGUCGGGGAGAACAAACAGAGGGGGUGUGCUGUUGCUAAAAGGAAGUGACAUGGAUCCGGUGCAUACAGCUAAUGUAACCAUGAUGUAGUACAUUUUUGGAAUGGUCCUGCCUAUCUGCCUCCCUCACCCUCCAAAGAUCCCACCUGAGAUGAAGAUUAUGCAUUCAGGAGGUCUUCCCUAGAGUUUCUUCUAGAUGGAUCAGUGAUUUCUGUGGCACAAGUAGUGAUGGCUCUGCCUUUUUCCGCAGAGAAGCUUCUGUAGGUGCAGUUAUGUGAGCUGUAAACUGCUGAUAGUCUUGUUACAGAGAUGGGAGCACAUCUCAGCUCCAUGAGUGAUGGGACAUCUCCAGGUACUGUCACAUUGUUUCAUUGUCUGCUUCUAGCAGAUGGCAAGAUUUUGUUUAAACCAACUGUGUCCUACUCACUGCCUUGACUCUGGCUCCUCGCAUAGUGCACCAGGUCUAGCAGCCCGAAUAAGUUCUGUCCCCGUCCAUAAUGACCCUGGAAGUUGGGGUUUCUGCAAGUAAAGGCUGUGCAGCCAUCUGAGCACAAGUAAGGAGGGGUAACUAAAUGCACGUCUUUGUUUUUCAUGGCGUCAGAUCAAGUGAGAAAUGGAACUGACUGGUGUGGGCAGAGAGUAGGCAUAUGCUAAAAUGAUUAAUGUGGUGAUCGAGAAGACACAGUUUAUCUUGCUAAUGUUACCUUAGGGAAAAGAAGAGUAGUCCCAAAAUCUUCCUUCCUUCAGAUUUUCUACAAAGAAUGGGAAAAAUUUCUCUUACAGAGGACUGUUUUUUUGUUCCCCUUCACACGUUGUCUCUGGCUCCAGUUACAUUUAGAAAUAAACAAACAUGCUUG
ensembl:lncRNA